AUCAAUUAUGUUUUCAGCAACCCAAUAAAAGUUGACAUUGACAGUUUUGGUGACAGUAAUUAAAUAUUUGAUAGUGAUCAUUGUUGAUUAGCGUUCGAACAACCGGCCCUAAGUGUACGAAAUUCUAUGGACAUUUGAGUGUAAAAUGACAGCGGAUGUGACAGCGGCUCAUGACAGCGGACAGUAUUAAACGAAAAUUAUCGGUGUGCCAAUCAAGCAAAGGGACAAGGAACUUCCGAAUAUGGCCUAACUGGGGGCACAUAACAUAACAUAACCUAAUCCUAAUAUUUACAUUUGUAAAGAAUAUCCUGUUUGUUUUUAUUGUCGAUUGUGCAGCGAAAUUGUGAUAGCAAAUCAAAUAUAAAGUAGUUUAUCGCCUACAGAACUGAAUUAGUCCAUAGCAGUUAUCAGUUUUUCUUUCUUGGGAAGCUUAUACAUGUAACUUGUAUUGUUGUAAAUUGUGGGAGUAGGGCAGACAGGGAAAAGUCUUAUUUUGUACUGUUCCCAAGGCUCCCCAUGCAAUACAUUUAAAUGAAUUAUCCAAACAAAGCUGGGGACAAUGGAUAAAAGCCACAAGAAGAACAGAUAUAAGGGAACUAAAAUUAAAAUAUGAAAAGUAAACAUUUUAUAAGUGGAACAACCACCAGAUAUUUAAAAGGUAUAAAAAGAAGAAACUGCUGGAAUUUCAAAACAAAUGUGUUUGACUAGUAAAGAUUUGGAUAAAUAACAGGAGUUACUUUGGGCUAUAGCUACGUGCAGAUUUAUUUCCUUGUGGCUUCCUAUGUUAAUUCUUAUUAAUUAUACACUUAAAUAUGUUUUUAGUCUCAGGAAGAUUUUAUAUUUGAUUAUUUUUGAAUAAACAUUAUUAUUAUUAUUACCUUAAUUUCCAUUAAAUAAAUUAACUGUAAUCAAUAAAGUAAUCGUUUAAUUGUUAAUAAAUUAUCAAGUAUGA